CCUACGGGAGGCAGCAGUGAGGAAUAUUGCUCAAUGGGCGGAAGUCUGAACCAGCCAAGUAGCGUGCAGGAUGACGGCCCUACGGGUUGUAACCUGCUUUUAUACGGGAAUAACGCGCCUUACGUGUAGGGCUUUGCAUGUACCGUAUGCAUACGGACCGGCUAAUUCCUUGCCAGCAGACGCGGUAAUACGGAAGGUCCGGGCGUUAUCCGGAUUUAUUGGGUUUAAAGGGAGCGUAGACGGCAUGUCAAGCGUGCUGUGAAUUGUCCGGGGUCAACCCGGGCCUUGCAGCUCGAACUAGCGUGCUUGAGUGCGCGGAAGGCAAGUGGAAGUCGUGGUGUAGCGGUGAAAUGCUUAGAUAUGACGAAGAACACCGAUGGCGAAGGCAGCUUGCUGGAGCGUAACUGACGCUGAGGCUCGAAAGUGCGGGGAUCGAACAGGAUUAGAUACCCUAGUAGUC
rnacentral:rRNA from 1 species